rnacentral:rRNA from 1 species
AUUGAACGCUGGCGGCAGGCCUAACACAUGCAAGUCGAACGAGCGGCGGACGGGUGAGUAAUGUCUGGGAAACUGCCUGAUGGAGGGGGAUAACUACUGUAAACGGUAGCUAAUACCGCUUAACAUCGUAUGUGCCCAGGUGGGAUUAGCUAGUGGGUGGGGUAACGGCUCACCUAGGCGACGAUGCCUAGCUGGUCUGAGAGGAUGACCAGCCACACUGGAACUGAGACACGGUCCAGACGCCUACGGGAGGCAGCAGUGGGGAAUAUUGCACAAUGGGCGCAAGCCUGAUGCAGUCAUGCCGCGUGUGUGAAGAAGGCCUUCGGGUUGUAAAGUACUUUCAGCGGGGAGGCGUUACCCGAAGAAGAAGCAACGGCUAACUCCGUGCCAGCAGCCGCGGUAAUAC